AGAGAAGGGUGUGGCAGAGAGUGGGAUGUUGGAGAAAGGAAGAGGGUGGCGGGGCAAGGUUCCAUUGUCAUGUUGGAGAGCAAAACUAGCUCCAAUAAGCGUGUUUCUCUUCCUUAUUUCAUUGUUUCUCUUUUGUUUUCCUAAGUGUAUGUGUAUUCUUUCAUUUUAGUUAGAAAUGUAAAACCCGAGAGCUCCAUCAGUCCUUCGAAUGACUUUCAUGGUUAGAGCUCCUCCUUUUCGCUAUGGAGAAAUCUGAGACUUCACUACCAUGAACUCGGGGCAUAUUUGGUCCGCGCCUGGGUAAAGAUAAAAUACCAUAUGGAGCAGAAUUGCUAAAAGACACUACUAAAGUUUCCCAACUAUCUGACAAAGAACUCAAGAGAAAUAAUGCCUGCAAUUCAUCAUCUCGAGCCAUUUUCAUUAUGUUCAACUCAUUUACCUACUCUUAAAAUUUACUCAAGUGUUCUGCAAGUGAUGGUCCAUCUCUCAACUUUAGAUUGACAAGAUUUCUAAUGAUAAAAGUCUUAUUUCGAGCAA